GAGUAACACGUGGGAAACCUGCCCAGAAGCGGGGGAUAACACCUGGAAACAGAUGCUAAUACCGCAUAACAACUUGGACCGCAUGGUCCGAGUUUGAAAGAUGGCUUCGGCUAUCACUUUUGGAUGGKCCCGCGGCGUAUUAGCUARAUGGKGGGGUAACGGCUCACCAUGGCAAUGAUACGUARCCGACCUGARAGGGUAAUCSGCCACAUUGGGACUGARACACSGCCCAAACUCCUACGGGAGGSAGCAGUAGGGAAUCUUCCACAAUGGACGAAAGUCUGAUGGAGCAACSCCSCGUGAGUGAARAAGGGUUUCGGCUCGUAAAACUCUGUUGUUAAAGAAGAACAUAUCUGAGAGUAACUGUUCAGGUAUUGACGGUAUUUAACCAGAAAG
rnacentral:rRNA from 1 species